CUGUGUUUACUUGCUGCAUCCAUCAGGUAUGCUGAUGCUUUUUUUUAAGAGGAAAACAAAAAAGUAAAGUAUCAGUCUUAAACUUUGCAGUAUGCUCCUUAUACCAUAAAACUACAUAUGGAGACAAGAUCUGGAAGGCCCUGGAUAGGUGUGCAGAAGUCUGUUUUACCAGGACAAAGGGAGUGCUACCUGUCUGUAUUAUUUCCAAUAAAUCCUGAAUCCCUAUGUGAUUCCAGUCAUCCUUGAGCACUGUGGAGUGUUACAUUGCAAUCUGAACAUCCUAGAGCCAUGAAGAUAACUGAAUUAGUCGAUGGACAUUUGCAGAUGGCAGUCAGGUACCAGAAUUUUCUUCUGUGUCUCUUCCCUUCCAUAUGGAAAUUUAUCAAUAAUCAAGGUGUCUGCAACAUAAUUUUGUAAGGAAACAGACCAGUCAAACCCAUGCCUGAAGGGGUCUUGAUAGAAAUUAUGAUGUGCCUGCUGGGACUUCUGUUACAAAGGAGGAAGGAGAGACUCUCUUUCUUUCAUAAUGAGCCCUUAUUGGAUCAUAAGCAAAAUUGCAUUCAAGAUCUUCAACUACAGAAUUAGACAUAUAAUUAUUGAUGUGCAAAUAUAUCUUAUAUAGACUUCUGGAAGGCAGAAUGCCUUAUAUUCAAAAAUACCCUUUUCAUGGCUCCUAACUGCUGUUACCGAAAAAAAAAAAAACAGAAAAAAAAAAAGUGAUAACCAGGGGAAUUGUUAA